UACGAAGGGGGCUAGCGUUGCUCGGAAUUACUGGGCGUAAAGGGCGCGUAGGCGGGUCGUUAAGUCAGGGGUGAAAGCCCAGAGCUCAACUCUGGAAUUGCCUUUGAGACUGAGUGGCUUGAGUACGAGAGAGGUGAGUGGAAUUCCCAGUGUAGAGGUGAAAUUCGUAGAUAUUGGGAAGAACACCGGUGGCGAAGGCGGCUCACUGGCUACGUAACUGACGCUCAUGCACGACAGCGUGGGGAUCAAACAGG
rnacentral:rRNA from 1 species